ACCUUUAGCUGCAUAGUUCAGUUGGUUAGAGUGUGGUGCUAUUAAUGCCAAGAUUGCAGGUUCAAUCCCCAUAAGGACU